rnacentral:rRNA from 1 species
AACGAACGCUGGCGGCAUGCCUAACACAUGCAAGUCGAACGAGACCUUCGGGUCUAGUGGCGCACGGUGCGUCACGCGUGGGAACCUGCCCUUAGGUUCGGAAUAACUCCCCGAAAGGGGUGCUAAUACCGGAUAAUGUCUUCGGACCAAAGAUUUAUCGCCUUUGGAUGGGCCCGCGUUGGAUUAGCUAGUUGGUAGGGUAAAAGCCUACCAAGGCGACGAUCCAUAGCUGGUCUGAGAGGAUGAUCAGCCACACUGGGACUGAGACACGGCCCAGACUCCUACGGGAGGCAGCAGUGGGGAAUAUUGGACAAUGGGCGAAAGCCUGAUCCAGCAAUGCCGCGUGAGUGAUGAAGGCCUUAGGGUUGUAAAGCUCUUUUACCCGGGAUGAUAAUGACAGUACCGGGAGAAUAAGCUCCGGCUAACUCCGUG